rnacentral:rRNA from 1 species
AUUGAACGCUGGCGGCAGGCCUAACACAUGCAAGUCGAGCGCGAAAGGCCUUCGGGCUGAGUAGAGCGGCGGACGGGUGAGUAACGCGUAGGAAUCUACCUGGUAGUGGGGGACAACUUGGGGAAACUCAAGCUAAUACCGCAUACGCCCCAAGGAGGAAAGCGGGGGACCUUCGGGCCUCGCGCUAUCAGAUGAGCCUGCGUAGGAUUAGCUAGUUGGUGAGGUAAAGGCUCACCAAGGCGACGAUCCUUAGCUGGUCUGAGAGGAUGAUCAGCCACACGGGGACUGAGACACGGCCCAGACUCCUACGGGAGGCAGCAGUGGGGAAUAUUGCGCAAUGGGGGCAACCCUGACGCAGCCAUGCCGCGUGUGUGAAGAAGGCCUUCGGGUUGUAAAGCACUUUAAGUGGGGAGAAAGCUACUUGGAUUAAUACUCUAGGAUAGUGGACGUUACUCGCAGAAUAAGCACCGGCUAACUCUGUGCCAGCCGCCGCGGUAAAAC